rnacentral:rRNA from 1 species
UACGUAGGGGGCUAGCGUUGUCCGGAAUCAUUGGGCGUAAAGCGCGUGUAGGCGGUCCGGUAAGUCCGCUGUGAAAGUCGGGGGGCUCAACCCUCGGAUGCCGGUGGAUACUGUCGGGCUUGAGUACGGAAGAGGCGAGUGGAAUUCCUGGUGUAGCGGUGAAAUGCGCAGAUAUCAGGAGGAACACCAAUUGCGAAGGCAGCUCGCUGGGACGUUACUGACGCUGAGACGCGAAGCGUGGGGAGC